GCGCGCGCCGCGCCCAGGGCUCGCGGAGACCCGAGGGGCGCGUGCCGCGGCGUGAGGCGAGGCGCGGGGCGCGGGGCGGCGCGGCGGGGCCCCUCCCCCCUGCAGCCUGGCGCGCGCCGGCCGGGCCGCACCGCUGCGGGCUCGGCGCGCGCGGGCCAUGUCCGCCUUCUGCCUGGGCUUGGCCGGCCGCGCUUCAGCACCCGCCGAGCCGGACAGCGCCUGCUGCAUGGAGCUGCCCGCCGCUGCCGCGGACGCAGUCGGGAAUCCAGCCGCCGCCACCGCCGCUGCCCUCAUCUCCUUCCCCGGGGGCCCCGGGGAGUUGGAACUGGCGUUAGAGGAGGAGCUGGCGCUGCUGGCGGCUGGGGAACGGCCGUCCGAGCCCGGGGAGCAUCCUCAGGCCGAGCCCGGGCCUCCAGCCGAGGCGGCCGGACUGCAGCCGCCGCCCGCCCAGGAUCCCGAGCUGCUGUCAGUGAUCCGGCAGAAGGAGAAGGAUCUGGUCUUGGCGGCCCGACUGGGCAAGGCAUUGCUCGAGAGAAAUCAGGACAUGAGCCGGCAGUACGAACAGAUGCACAAGGAACUAACAGAUAAGCUGGAGCACUUAGAACAAGAGAAACACGAACUAAGAAGACGAUUUGAGAACCGAGAAGGCGAAUGGGAAGGGCGUGUGUCUGAGCUGGAGAGUGAUGUGAAGCAGCUUCAGGAUGAGUUGGAGAGGCAGCAGGUUCAUCUACGGGAAGCAGAUCGAGAGAAAACACGGGCCGUCCAGGAGUUAUCAGAGCAGAACCAAAGGUUAUUGGACCAACUCAGCAGGGCAUCAGAAGUUGAGAGACAACUCUCCAUGCAAGUACACGCCCUCAGAGAAGACUUUCGGGAGAAAAACUCGUCAACCAACCAGCACAUCAUCAGGCUGGAAAGCCUUCAGGCCGAGCAGGUCCUUGAAAUCAAGAUGCUGUCGGAUCGGAAGCGGGAGCUGGAGCACCGUCUCAGCGCCACCUUGGAGGAGAACGACCUGCUCCAGGGGACAGUGGAGGAGCUGCAGGACCGGGUGUUGAUCCUGGAGAGGCAGGGCCACGACAAGGACCUCCAGCUGCACCAGAGUCAGCUGGAGCUGCAGGAGGUGCGGCUCUCCUACCGGCAGCUGCAGGUGAAGGUGGAGGAGCUGACCGAGGAGAGGAGCCUGCAGAACUCCACCGCCACCAGCGCGUCCCUCCUGUCUGAGAUAGAGCAGAGCAUGGAGGCCGAGGAGCUGGAGCAGGAGAGAGAGCAGUUGAGACUGCAGCUCUGGGAAGCCUACUGCCAGGUCCGCUAUCUGUGCUCGCACCUGCGGGGAAACGACAGCGCUGACUCGGCCGUCUCCACGGACUCCUCGAUGGACGAGUCUUCAGAGACGUCGUCGGCCAAGGACGUGCCAGCCGGCAGCUUGCGCACUGCCCUGAACGAGCUCAAGAGACUGAUCCAGAGCAUCGUGGACGGCAUGGAGCCCUCGAGCUCCCGGAGAAUUGACGAUGACUCCUUAGAAGAACAGAUAAGGCAGACCAGUGAGGAUUCGAGAGCCCUGAGGGAACUCAUGGAGGGGGAGAGGGGUAAACUGAGGCAAAGCCUGGAAGAGCUGCAGCGGCUCCACAGUCAGGUGACACUGCUGAGCGUGGAGAUGACCGCCCUGAAGGAGGAGAGAGACCGACUCAGAGUGACGUCUGAGGACGAGGAACCAAAGGAGCAGCUUCAGAAGGCAAUCAGGGACCGGGACGAGGCCAUCGCGAAGAAGAACGCUGUGGAGCUGGAACUCGCCAAGUGCAAGAUGGACAUGAUGUCUCUCAACAGCCAGCUGCUGGAUGCCAUUCAGCAGAAACUGAACCUCUCGCAGCAGCUUGAGGCUUGGCAGUUUGCUUCCUCAGGGCUUUUUACUAUCUGGCUCCUUUGGUUUCUGAUCUAGUGGCCUUUCUCAGUUCCCGUAUCAACAGCUUUAGUUGUACACCCCUCCUGCCUUUGAGGAUGACAUGCACAGGGUCAUUGACCGGCAGCUGAUGGACACACACCUGAAGGAACGGAGCCGGCCUGCUGCCACCCCCUCCCGGGCCCCAGGCCUGGGGCGUGGGGACGAGCCCAGCACCGCUGAAGGCAAACGGC